UGGGGAAUAUUGCACAAUGGGGGAAACCCUGAUGCAGCGACGCCGCGUGAGUGAAGAAGUAUUUCGGUAUGUAAAGCUCUAUCAGCAGGGAAGAAAAUGACGGUACCUGACUAAGAAGCACCGGCUAAAUACGUGCCAGCAGCCGCGGUAAUACGUAUGGUGCAAGCGUUAUCCGGAUUUACUGGGUGUAAAGGGAGCGUAGGUGGCAAGGCAAGCCAGAAGUGAAAACCCGGGGCUCAACCUGGGAACUGCAUUCUAAACUGUCCGACUAGAGUAUUGCAGGGGGAGACGGAAUUCCAGGUGUAGCGGUGGAAUGCGUAGAUAUUGGGAGGAACACCAGUGGCGAAGGCGGCUUACUGGACGGUAACUGACGUUGAGGCUCGAAAGCGUGGGGAGCAAACAGG
rnacentral:rRNA from 1 species